ACAUUAAGAUUUAAACAUCUAUCUUAAAAAGUAAAAUAGAGAUAUUAAGUAAAUAAAAAGUACAAGAAAUGAAAAUACAUAUACAGGAAAAUAUAUAAUAAGUAAAUAUGUAAAUCUAUAAUAUAUGAAUUAUAUAUAUAAUAAUAAGUAAAUACACAAUUUUUUUUAAAAAAUGGAAAAAGUUCAUUAAGCAUUAAACAUCUAUCUUAAAAUGUAAAAUAUAUAAUAUAAGUAAAUACACAAUUUAAAAAAAAGGAAAAAGUACAUUAAGAUUUAAAUAUCUAUUUUAAAAUAUAAAAUAUAGAUAUUACGUAAAUAAAAAAUAUAAGAAAUGGAAAUAAACAUUUUAAAAAAAUGGAAAAAGUACAUUAAGAUUUAAACAUCUAUCUUAAAGGUACAUAUAUCUUAAAAUGGUAGUAAGUUAUAUAAAAAUGAAAAUACCACAUUAAACAAAAAAAAAUUAAAAUGCACUCCCUCCGUUUCAAAAUAGAUAAUGUUUUAGAGAGUUUUUGAUGUUUUAAAAUAGAUGAUGUUUUCAUAUUUCAAGGUAUCUUUUAACUUUAUCAAAAACUGUGUAACCAAUUAUAUUUUGUAGUAUGUUUUGUGAUUCGUUGAAUAAUUUUUAAUUUAUAUUUUAGUGAUACCUUUUAGAUAAAAAACAAGUGUUUUAAUAUUUGUGUCCCAACCUAAAACUUCAUGUAUUUUGAAACAGAGGGAGUCAAGAAAGUCCAUACAAAACUCAUUAUUCCAUCAACAUCAACCUCAUACUAUCAAGGAAAACUUCAAAGCACUCGAGCAAAAAAAUGGUUCCACCAUCAACUAUUGCCGUCCCAAAAACCUUUAAUGACUUUGAAGGAGAUUUUUUAUAACAACGAACUUUUUGUUAGGUGGAUUCAUUGUUGGGAAACCCGCAACUUCCAAAAGCCAAACUUAUUCAUGGGAAUUGAAUUGCUUUUCAUAGACUCAAAGGUAUUCUUACAAAUUUAAAUUAAUCUAAUCCAUCAUUUUGUUGUUAAUAUUCAUACUAACUAUUUCAUGAUCAAACUAUUACAGUUAAUAACCAUUCAAGCAUUUAUCCCGAAA
rnacentral:lncRNA from 1 species